rnacentral:lncRNA from 1 species
UGAGAUACCGCACGAAAUCGCUAAUCUUCGAAAUCUAGGGGAUUUAGUGCUUGGAAUGAACAACCUAGUUGGUGUGUUACCAGCUCCAAUCUUCAACAUGUCAACACUGAAGGUACUUAUCCUCAUAAACAACUCUCUCAGCGGAAGUCUUCCAUCAAGAAUAGACCUUUCACUUCCAACGGUUGAGGUUCUUAUCUUGUCACUUAAUAGAUUUUCUGGAACCAUUCCUAGUUCCAUCACCAAUGCUUCUAAGCUCGCCUUGCUAGAAUUGGGAGUAAACACAUUUUCGGGAUUUAUUCCAAACACAAUUGGUAAUUUAAGAAACCUUGAGUGGCUCGGCUUGGGUAAUAACUACUUGACAUCUUCAACCUCAAAAUUGAGCUUUCUUUCCUCUUUGGCAAAUUGCAAGAAAUUAAGAGACAUAGGCUUAACAGGCAAUCCACUCAACGGUAUCCUUCCAAGUUCAAUAGGUAAUCUUUCCAUGUCUUUGAAAACACUUUACAUCGGCAAUUGCAGUAUUAGUGGCAACAUUCCUCAAUCAAUUGGCAAUUUAAGCAACUUAUUGGCCUUAGUAUUAGAAGUCAAUAAAUUGACUGGACCUAUCCCAACUACAUUCGGCCGACUGCAGAAACUCCAAGGCUUAUAUCUUGCAUUCAAUAAGUUGGUAGGUUCAUUCCCAGAUGAGCUUUGCCAUCUAGCAAGGCUGGAUCAAUUGGUCUUAUUUGGCAAUAAGCUUUCAGGAUCUAUACCUUCAUGCUUAAGUAAUCUCACUUCUCUGAGAUCUCUCUACUUAGGGUCCAAUAGGUUUACUUCUGUCAUUCCCUCAACUUUCUGGAGCCUAAAAGACAUCUUGUUCUUUGACUUUUCAUCAAAUUUCUUGGUGGGUCCUCUUUCUUCAGACAUAGGUAAUUUGAAGGUGCUUCUAGGAAUAAAUUUAUCAGAAAAUAACUUAUCGGGUGAUAUGCCAGCCACAAUUGGAGGACUAAAAAACCUUCAAAUUAUGGACCUAGCAUAUAAUAGAUUGGAAGGCCCAAUUCCUGAAUCAUUUGGUGACUUGACAAGUUUGGAGGUUUUGAAUUUGUCAAAUAAUAAAAUCUCCGGGUCUAUUCCAAAAUCCUUGGGGAAACUCUUUUACCUCCGAGAGUUAAAUCUCUCUUUCAAUGAACUAGAAGGUGAGAUUCCUAGUGGAGGAAUUUUUGCCAACUUCACAGCUGAGUCAUUUAUGGGAAAUGAGUUAUUGUGUGGUUUACCAAAUCUUCAAGUCCAACCAUGCAAAGUUAGCAAGCCGAGGACAGAACAUAAAUCAAGGAAAAAGAUACUUCUCAUUGUGAUUGUUUUGCCAUUGAGUAUUGCUCUAACGAUAGCAAUCACUCUAGCUCUCCAAUCUAAGCUGAUCGAAUGUGGAAAAAGAAGCACGGUGUUAUCAAAUGAUAGUAUCUUGUCAUCACAAGCAACACUAAGAAGAUUUUCAUACUUAGAACUUUUACGAGCAACAGAUAAUUUUGCUGAAAACAGCAUAAUUGGCAGAGGAGGUUUUGGUUCCGUUUAUGGAGCAAGACUUGAAGAUGGGAUGAAGAUUGCAAUAAAAGUGUUUCACCAGCAAUGUGCAAGCGCAUUGAAGAGUUUUGAGGCUGAAUGUGAAGUGUUAAAAAAUAUUCGCCAUCGAAACCUUAUCAAAGUUAUCAGCAGUUGCUCGAACGAUGACUUCAAAGCAUUAGUCCUAGAAUACAUGUCCAACGGGAGCUUAGGGGAUUGGCUGCAUUCGAGCAAUUACGUGCUGAAUAUUUUUCAAAGGUUGAACAUAAUGAUUGACGUUGCAUCAGCUUUAGAAUAUCUCCACUUUGAUCAUUCAACUCCUAUUAUUCAUUGUGACUUAAAGCCUAGUAAUGUAUUGUUGGAUGAAAAUAUGGUUGCUCAUUUGAGUGAUUUUGGCAUAGCAAAGCUUUUAAGUGGAGAGGAUGAGUCUACGAUGCGAACAAAAACCCUUGCCACUAUAGGUUAUAUGGCACCAGGUUUGCUUCAAACAACUUUUUUUUAAAGUUCAUUUUAAAUUUUCCAACUUAUUGAUUUUUACAAUCCUCAUAUCAAAAUGUUAUUGAUUAUUUAUCUAAUUGUGAAAUUAAUUUGAUUAAUAGAGUACGGCAUUGAAGGAGAAGUAUCUACAAAAAGUGAUGUUUACAGCUAUGGGAUUAUGUUGAUGGAAACUUUUACCAAGAAAAAACCCACAGAUGAAAUUUUUGUUGGGGAAUUGAGCUUAAAGCGUUGGGUUAAUGACUUGCUUCCUACUUCAUUAGUGGAAGUUGUGGACAAAACUCUGCUAAGUGGAGAGGAAAAACAUUCUGCAGCAAAGGAGCAAUGUCUGUUGUCUAUCUUUAGUUUGGCUCUGGAGUGUACAAUGGAAUCACCGGAAAAGAGGAUUAAUGCAAAAGAUAUUGUUACUAGAUUACUCAAGAUAAGAGACACAUUGAGUAAAAGGAUCGGAAAUUUAAGUUAAUUUCGUUUGCUUUCAUUGAUAGUUAAUCUGAAUUCAUGUAAUAAGUGUAGGAAUCUUAUAUCUUUUCCUUUCAUAUAUUUUUUUUUCUUGAGAAAACUGUUGUAGUCAUCUUGUUUCCAUGGACAGAGUUGAUUUAGUUCUUCCAAAAAAUGCUACUGAUGACCUUUGUUUAAUACUUUCUCUUUUUUUGCAUGUGUUUAGGUAGAACAGUGGUUUGGCUGCAGGCUAAGAAGUCUAACUACACUAAAAGAAUAUGAUUUAAUUUAUUAAACAAAACUUCAAGUUCAAGAAAAGUAUUUCACUGCCCCCAAUGCUUUGGACACCUACUUGUUGCGGACCGCCCAAUUCGCUAGCCCAAUUGCCCACAAUUUCGGGCUAGAGAGCCAACACAAGGCCAAGAGUGCUAGCUUGGCCCAAUUCCGAAAGGUUCUAGGCAACUCUAGCACAUGUGAACAUGUAAAUAUUCUAGAAUACUUUAUACAAUUCCAGCACAUGCAAAUAGCUAGGAAAUUGUAAAAUACUCUAGAGUUUGACCAAGUUUGGCAAAGUUAGGCAAAGUUAGGCAAAGCCUCCCCUAUAAAUAUGGGAUGGCAUUAGGCAUUUGUAUCCAAAAAGCUUUGUAAGCAACUUAAGCAUUGUAUUCUCUCUUUGUGCAAUACAAGUUUUCUUCUUUGGCUCAAUUGCUCUCUUCUCUAGUUCGAGAAGCUCUAGGCUUACUUAGCAACAUUCGGCAAAGUUGUCUAAGUGCCGCACGGGUUAGCUGCGCAAAACACUCAUCUCGUGACAAGUGGUAUCAGAGCUAAGGUUUGCACGCACGCAAAUUAGCUCACGAAGCAAUGGCCAACCCUUCGAACGUAGCACAAGAGGGUGUUGUUGGUGUGGAUGUUCCACCGGAACUAAGCCGUGGCCGAGAGGGAGAACGUGCCCAAGGCAAGACUCGCGGCAAGUCCAAGGCCCUAUCCGUGGAUGCGUUGGAGCCUCGUGUAGGCACUCUCGAAAUCGCAUUGUCCACCGCUCAAGAAAGCCUCGAGGGAUUGGAGGAACGAGUGGACGGACUCGAGGGAGAAUACGCCGAAUUCACGGUGGCAACCAAAGCUCUCAUCCAAGAACAAGCAAACACUCUUCGAGGUGAGUGUUCAAGACGAACUACGCGCUGUCCGUGCGGAAGUGGAUGAAGUCCGCUCGGAUUGGGCAUGGCACAAGCGCACACUCUCCUCAAGUCCAGCUUCCGCAAACUCGAGUGAUGCGCGCCGCAUUGACGUGCCAAAGCCCGACACCUACGAUGGCACACGCAAUGCCACAAUCGUGGAUAAUUUCCUCUUUGGUCUGGAUCAAUACUUUAAUGCCAUGGGUGUACGAGAUGAGGCAUCGAAAGUGGGCACUGCACCCACCUAUCUUAGAGGCGCUGCACAACUAUGGUGGCGUCGCAAACAUGGCGAGAUGGGCAAGGGCAUUUGCACCAUCGACAUUUGGUCCGACUUCAAGCAAGAACUCCGAAAGCAGUUCGCCCCAAGCAAUGCGGAGAAGGAAGCGCGAGCGCGCUUACGUCGCCUCAAGCAAUCGGGUAGCAUUCGGGACUACAUCAACGAGUUCACUACCCUUAUGUUGGAGAUAAGCGACAUGUCCAACAAGGAUUCACUCUUCUACUUCCAAGAUGGCCUCAAGGAUUGGGCCAAAACCGAGCUUGAUAGGCGUGGUGUUCAAACACUUGACGACGCCAUCGCCAUUGCGGAAUCGCUCACCGAAUACUCUACCCAAUCCAAAGACAAGAAGUCUAGCCAAGGCAAAGGUGGGGGAGAGAGUCGUAAGGACAAGGGCAACAACCGCAAAGAUUGGGGGCAGAAAAAGCCGCCUAGCAACAAGAGCUGGCAGGGAAAAUCGGAGGGCAAGAAGGAGGCGCCAAAGCCACGAAGCCCAUGCUUCAUAUGCAAUGGUCCUCAUUGGGUACGCGACUGUCCGGAGAAGCGGUCGCUUAAUAUUCUUGCUGCCCAACUCAAGAGCAACCCCACAAUGUCCGUGGAGGAACCCCAACUUAGCAUGGGUUCUCUCCAACGCCUCGGCGCCCUCAACCGCCAACAGCCCGCGCUAGUCAAGAAAGGGCUCAUGUAUGUUAGCGCAAAGGUAAACAGCCAGUCCGUUCGCGCGUUGCUAGACACGGGAGCAACACACAAUUUCGUGUCCGUAGAUGAGGCCAAGCGUUUAGGCCUCAAGGCCACCAAGGAAUGAGGCACAAUGAAGGCAGUAAACUCACCCGCCAAGCCAAUUGCGGGAAUUGCACAAGGCGUACACAUCACACUUGGUACGUGGAGCGGAAAGCUUGACUUCUCCAUCCUGCCCAUGGACGACUUCAAGAUGGUCCUGGGCAUGGAAUUCUUCGACCAAGUCUAUGCCUUCCCGCUGCCUACUACGAACUCCCUAAGCAUCCUCGAUGGGAGUAAAGCAUGCAUGGUACCCACGGAGCGAGGCAAGUCCGAGGAGAAGACACUCUCCACCAUGCAAUUCAAAAGGGCUUUCAAGAAGGACCCAAGCUUCUUGGUCUCCAUUCGGGAACUAAAUGAGGAAAGAAAUAGCGGAACGUCGCCAAGCCAAGUCCCUCCGCAAAUAUACAGAGUCCUCAAUGAGUACGAGGAUGUGAUGCCUCCAGAACUUCCGAAGAAGCUCCCACCUCGACGAGAGGUAGAUCAUGCGAUCGAGCUAGAACAAGGCGCGAAGCCAACAGCCUUGGCGCCCUACCGUAUGGCGCCAUCUGAAUUAGAGGAGUUGCGGAGACAACUCAAAGACUUGCUGGACGCAGGCUACAUUCGCCCCUCAAAGGCCCCAUUCAGUGCACCCGUGCUCUUCCAAAAGAAAAAGGAUGGAUCGCUGCGGAUGUGCAUCGACUAUAGAGCGCUCAACAAGAUCACUAUCAAGAACAAGUAUCUGAUUCCCGUGAUUGCGGACUUGUUCGACCAGCUUGGCAAAGCGCGGUACUUCACCAAACUUGACUUGCGCUCCGGGUAUUAUCAAGUGCGCAUCGCCAAGGGAGAUGAACCGAAGACAGCGUGCACAACAAGGUACGGGUCUUUCGAAUUCCUUGUGAUGCCUUUUGGUCUUACUAAUGCACCCGCCACAUUUUGCACGCUCAUGAACAAGGUGCUCCAACCAUUCCUCGACUGCUUCGUGGUCGUGUACUUGGAUGACAUAGUGGUGUAUAGCACCACGCUCGAGGAUCAUGCCCGACAUUUGCGACAAGUCCUCCAAGUACUUCGAGACAACGAGCUCUUCCUCAAACUAGAGAAGUGCUCGUUUGCCCAACAAGAAGUGGAGUUCCUUGGCCAUAAGAUUGCGGGUGGGAAGAUCAUGAUGGAGAAUGACAAAGUAAAGGUCAUCCUCGAUUGGGAGCCUCCCUCGAAAGUACCCGAACUUCGCUCAUUCCUUGGACUGGUGAAUUACUACCGCCGCUUCAUCAAGGGCUAUUCAGCUAAGGCGGCACCCUUGACGAAUAUGCUCAAGAAAAACAGAACAUGGCAUUGGUCCGAAGAGUGCCAACGCGCAUUCGAGGAGUUGAAAAGAACAAUUUCGGAGGAACCCGUCCUCGCUCUUCCGGACCACACAAAGCCCUUCGAAGUGCAAACGGAUGCCUCGGAUUUCGCCAUAGGAGGAGUCCUUAUGCAAGAAGGCCACCCUAUAGCGUUCGAGAGUCGAAAGCUAAAUGAUACAGAACGCCGCUACACGGUGCAAGAAAAGGAGAUGACCGCAAUCAUACAUUGCUUGCGGGUGUGGCGACAUUACUUGCUUGGCUCGUACUUCACGAUUAUGACGGAUAACGUGGCGACAAGCUACUUUCAAACUCAGAAGAAGUUGAGUCCGAAGCAAGCACGGUGGCAAGAUUUCCUUGCGGAAUUCGACUACCGGCUGGAGUACAAACCGGGGAAAGCCAAUGUCGUUGUGAACGCUCUAAGCCGCAAGGCCGAAUUGGCGACACUUAGCAUGAGCCAACCAAAGUCUGACCUUGUCUCACGCAUCAAGGAAGGCCUCCAACAAGAUCCGCUAGCCAAGGAUUUGCUGGAGAAGGUGCUCGAGGGAAAGACAAGACGAUUUUGGCAAGAGGAAGGCAUCCUCCUCACCAAGGGAGAUCGGCUAUUCGUGCCAAGGUGGGGAAACUUGCGGAAGGAAGUAAUCAAGGAGUGCCACGACUCUAAGUGGGCCGGUCACCCAGGAAUCGAGCGCACCACCGCACUAGUUCAAGCCUCGUAUUUUUGGCCGCACAUGAGGGACGACAUCGAGGCAUAUGUGCGAACUUGUCUUGUGUGCCAACAAGACAAAGUGGAUCAUCAACUUCCAGCGGGAUUGUUGGAGCCGUUACCACUAGCAACAAGGCCAUGGGAAAGUGUCUCCAUGGAUUUCAUCACAUCGCUGCCCAAGUCCGAAGGUUGUGGAAGCAUCAUGGUCGUUGUCGACCGAUACAGCAAAUAUGCCACAUUCAUUGCCGCACCAGCCGAUUGCAAAGCGGACGAGGCAGCCCGCCUAUUCGUCAAGCACAUUGUGAAGCUUUGGGGAGUUCCGAAGAGCAUUGUGAGCGACCGAGACCCUCGAUUCACUGGACGCUUUUGGACGGAACUCUUCAAAAUGUUGGGGACCGAUCUCAAGUUCUCGACAAGCUUCCACCCACAAACGGAUGGGCAGACCGAGCGCAUUAAUGGCCUCCUCGAGAUGUACCUGAGGCAUUAUGUGAGCGCUCACCAGCGGGAUUGGGCGAAGCUACUCGACAUUGCCCAAUUUUCUUAUAACUUGCAGCGAAGUGAGGCUACGGGCAAGAGUCCAUUCGAGAUCAUCAUGGGAUUUCAGCCCAUGACCCCCAAUGCCAUAGCCUCGACUUACGGAGGGAAAAGCCCCGCGGCACACAAGCUCGCCCGCGAAUGGCAUGAGGAAGCGGACAUCACGCGAGCCUAUCUCGACAAAGCCGCGAGGAAAAUGAAGAAAUGGGCUGAUACAAGGAGACGGCAUGUUGAGUACAAGGAAGGAGAUCAAGUCAUGAUCAAGCUCCUACCCCAACAAUUCAAGACUUUGCGGAAAGUUCACAAGGGGUUAGUGAGGUGCUACGAGGGAUCCUUCCGAGUUGUUCGACGUGUAGGCAACGUCUCGUAUCAACUCCAACUUCCGCCAAGACUCAAGAUCCAUCCGGUCUUCCAUGUGAGCCUUCUCAAGCCAUAUCAUGAAGACAUGGGAGAACCAAGUCGCGGAGAAUUGAGGCGCGCGCCAACUGCCGUUGUCACCGCGUUCGACAAAGAUGUGGACUACAUCAUUGCGGACCGAACGGUUUCGAGGAGGGGCGUGCCAGCACAUAGCGAGUACUUGGUGAAAUGGAAAAACCUCCCCGAGAGCGAAGCCACUUGGGAACGGGAAGAUGAUUUGUGGCAAUUCGCUGAGCACAUCCAGCACUUCAAGCACGAGAGCGCGACGAGGACGCCGCGAGCUUAGGUGGGGGAGGAUGUUGCGGACCGCCCAAUUCGCUAGCCCAAUUGCCCACAAUUUCGGGCUAGAGAGCCAACACAAGGCCAAGAGUGCUAGCUUGGCCCAAUUCUGGAAGGUUCUAGGCAACUCUAGCACAUGUGAACAUGUAAAUAUUCUAGAAUACUUUAUACAAUUCCAGCACAUGCAAAUAGCUAGGAAAUUGUAAAAUACUCUAGAGUUUGACCAAGUUUGGCAAAGUUAGGCAAAGUUAGGCAAAGUUAGGCAAAGCCUCCCCUAUAAAUAUGGGAUGGCAUUAGGCAUUUGUAUCCAACAAGCUUUGUAAGCAACUCAAGCAUUGUAUUCUCUCUUUGUGCAAUACAAGUUUUCUUCUUUGGCUCAAUUGCUCUCUUCUCUAGUUCGAGAAGCUCUAGGCUUACUUAGCAACAUUCGGCAAAGUUGUCUAAGUGCCGCACGGGUUAGCUGCGCAAAACACUCAUCCCGUGACAUACUGGUAGGUAUGUACGUGUCCUCAACUUUUUUUCGGAGCACAAAAUUCGAGUCCCAUGGAGACUCAAACAUUCCUUUCCCACAUCCCGAGCACGCUAAAUUCAUCAGACUAACAACUGUGACAUAUACAAGAGUGAAAUGUUUAGAGAACGCUAAGUACUAUGAAAGAGAUUAGUUUACGAAAACUGAAGCCAAGGGUUCAUAAAAAAGUGCAAAGAGAAUAAAGGACAACGCUUAUGUAAAGCGACAUAGUUGUAUUCAUAGCACAAUGUCAUAUUCAUACAGAGAUCUAGAAUAUUAUUUACAGCUGGUAAGGGCUAAGAAUUGAUGUAGCUAGAAUACAAAGACGAUAAGGUAUGUUGUGCACUAUUGUUUUAUUCUACGAUCAAUCUUGACCCUUGAUGCUUGGCUCUCAAUCUUGUCCAUUGAUCUUCUUUGAUUUUGGACACUUCAAGACCUUUCAGUAUCAUUCCUUGUUAUUGGUGUCUUCCGUGCUGUAGAAUUCAUAUACAAGCCUUCCCGCCGACUUGCCAAUUAUUUGUUCAUUGGUGCGUUUUGUCAAGCAGUGUGGAUACUUAUACCAAACGCUUUCUGUUUUAACUCCCCCUUUCAAGCUCAACUAUCUGGGAAGACACUAAUAAGCUUGUUUCUCAAGUAUAUGUAUGUGAAAAUUAAAAUUUCAAAAUAAUAUUCGGACUCUACAUUUUCUAAUGAACAUUGGUUUGGCUCAUAAGCUUAUUAUACUUGGGCUUGGUAGGAUUAUCGGUCGGUAGAUGAACAAGUGUUAGAGCUUUCGAAUUUAUGCCAAUUAAAAAAAAAAAAAUCUAUAUAAAUUUUCCACUAGGCUAUUACCACAAUAAACAUUUGGAUGAACUAUUAUUGAAACCUUAUUGAGAAGUAGGACAUGUCGCAUACCAAUGCACUGACAUAUCUUCAAAUAGUGGUAACUCCACACAACAUGGCACAAUAAAUUAAGAGUUAUAUAGAUAAAAUCUUUCACUCUUUGGUAAUCAUCAAUGUCGGCAUGGCAAUGCGUCCGACAAAAUUCAUAAAUCAAAACAAAAAUAGAGAAUCAUAUUUGUUCCAGAUUGUAGUGAUGGUUGUUGAUGCACUCACAAUUUACAAUUUUAUUUAAUAUCUUCACAUUCGCAUUUUAAAAUGCACAAAUGUUUGUGUAUACAUAAUUAGUAAUCGAUUCUCAAGCAUGGACAUUUAAAAGCACUGCUGAAAGACAAAAUUUUAAUUUACUAUUUUUUGUCUUUUAAUUUUCUUUAAGUUUUAAUGAUUCCGCAUUUUGGCGAAGGAAUUGCAACCGCAUUUGGAGCUAGUUUUAAUUUUGUCUUUUAAUUCUUUUACACUUGGCUUUUGUUAUUGAUGUUAACUUCGAUGUGUGUGCGUGUGCGACUGAAUUCAACUUACACGCUAUUGAUGCAGCCACCAAAAAGGGGUGGUCCAUCAUCAAUCAACAAGGUUUAUUAUUAUUUCCAUAUUGAUUUUCUUAAUUAUAAAUAAUACUAAUGCUAUUUCAUAGUUAUAAAUAUAUUAGAAUUAAUCGAAAUCAUUUUUUAGUGUGGCAUGGCUAAAACUACCUUUUUUUUUUAUAAGUAAUUACUACUUUCACAUUAAGAAAAAAUACUCCUAUUUUUAAGGAAAAGUCAAGUACCUGUAGUUGUGAAGACUCGAGCUCACUCCCUUAUGAUAAAUCUUCAUAUUAAUUACGUAAAUAUCCUCUAAAAUUUUAAAUUAACUAUUCAAAAUUCGAUGUUAUACAGGUAUUUCAUUUAUUUGAGUAGGGGUUAGGGGUCAAUUGGAUACAAAUUCAAAAUUAUCCUUACUUGAGAAGGUGAUAAAAAUUGGGGAUUUAGUUUGGAUGUCAUUAGCUACAAAUAUUAAACUCAUACAUUUAAUUCAAAAUUAGAGGGCUGAUAUAUGCGCAUCAUCGUGCACGUUAUAGUGACACUGCGUCACCAUUCCACAACCUCUCCAAUGAAAAAUUGACAUGCUUCUUGUGCGCAUCUAAUCAGAAUCUUGAAAAUUAAUCACAAAAUUGUACUUUUAUUAUAAAAAGAAUAAAGAAACUCCAAGAAAAAAAAAAGACUUACAUAAAUAGAUUGAAAAAUCUAGAUUUCAAGUUGUCUAUAUUAGCUUGAUAUUUUUAUUAAUAGUCAUCCUCCCAAAAAAAUUCCAUCAAAAUAUAUUUUAAUUUUAUGUUAAUUCAUAAACAUGAAAAAAUCAUUUUAGAAUUAAUUAAAACAUAAUUUAUUGUUGCUCAAAAAAGGUAGAACUUAGUGAUCAGAAAAAAAGUAUCUAAAAUAUAUGUUAAAAAAAAUCAUGGUUGGUUAGACUGAUUGAAUUUUUUUUCUUUUUUAAGAAUUAAGACAAUUGGAUGGAUUCAGUAAUAAUAAUACAUAUUUAUUUGGCAAAUGGCAGGGAGGCUUUCGUCUGAUGCAGAUUGAUUAGAGAGAAAAUAUAACAAUUUUAAGCUCGUCAGAUUCGAAGCUGCUUACCUGUCGUGGGGGGAUCACUUCCGGUGCAUGUUGUCGUGUUAAAUUCUCGUUGACUUCACGUUGACUGAAGCAUUAUUGGAAGAAACAAGUUUAUUGAUGUGAGGCCUUUGAGAUUGUAAGUGUUAAAUCUGAGAAGAAUACCCACACACCCAUUAUCCUAUUACUCUUCUAUCACAUGAAGAGAAUUCAACAUUUGAUUCACACGGAAAAAAAAUUUGUGAGGAUUGUGAGGGUUGAUGGAAUAUAAUUUAGAUACAAAGUGUUUACCAGUGCGAUGCUUCGCAAGUGUUCUUGAAUCAAUAUAAACUCACAUUAUUUUCAUAGCGAUUGUUUCAUCUGCACGUGGAUAUAAUCACAUGUCGAGAUUUUUUUCCUUAAAUUAUGAUCUUAUUUAGUAUUGAGGUGUUAUAUCUUUUAAGGUACAAUUAUUGUUGGAAAAAAGUUGCAACUAUCAAAUAAAAUUAAUACUAUGUGCUAAAUAUAAUUGUUAAAUAAUAAUUUUGACAAAAUUAGUGAAGUUAUAUAGAUUUUUUUUCAUCAUCCAAGUAUAAAAUCAAAUCAACUUAACUUCUAAGUUCUAUAUCGGCUACUGUUUAUCAUAUGUUUUAGUUCUGUAACUUUUAAAUUAUAGUUACCCAACCUCAAUUCUAAACAAGACCUAUAACGAUAAAAAAUUUCCUCAUUAAAUUAUAUGUCUUGUGAUUGCUUAUUUAAUUUAUAUUUUUGUUAUUUAUCUUUAUUAAUUAUAAUCAUCUUUUUAUAAAUUAAAAUUGAAGGAAGUUGAUUGAUGUUGUUGACACACACACACGCACGCACACACUCGCAAAGAUAUAUUGGAAGUGCUUACGUCGACUCGAAGUUGUUGGGAAUUAAUGCAUGUAUUGAUUUAUUGGGAGUGUUUAAAUUGAUUUAUUAAUUGAAUAUUGUUUGAUUGCUUCAUAUCCAUUCUAGAAAGUUUAUUUCUUUGUGAAAUUUCAACGAAAUAUGUUUUUUUUUUUAAAUAAGGGUGUUCUAAAUCAUUUUAAAAAAUAUAUGGACUAAUUAGAAUUAAUUAUUAGGUAAUUAACUCAAUUUGUACAGGGUGAAACAACAUUUAUCCUAAUUAUAUCAUGAUAAAUACUUUUUUGAUUAGAAUUAGGAAAUCAUAGGUUUAUUGAAUUGUUUUUUUUUUCCUUUGCGGAAAUGGAUUAGAGAAUUAGAAAACAAUCAUGUUGAUGUCAAAAUCUGAUCUAGUCGGUUAGCGACUUAAUAUCAUAUUACUGCACCAGCAUUAAAUUUAUUUGGUAGAGAAUUGGCUGGUCAAUUGUCAAGAUGUCCUGCAAUCACUAGCGAUUAACCUACGAAUACCUGAAAUCACAAAAGACGGUAAGAGGCACUAGAAAUUUUUUCGGCGUGAACCUUCUGACGCUCAAGUCAGUUUAUAGGUUUACCAUAAUAAAAAUAAAUAAUUUCUAUUUAAAACAAAAAAUAAAGUUCAAAAGCUCAAAAAUAAAACCCAAUCCCAAUAUGAAAAUGAAUUUCUUUUUUUUUUUUAGCUUGGCCGAAUCCUUCUGCCUCCUAAAGAAACAUAAUAGAGAAGCAGGUAGCCAUGUUCCCUAGGUAACGCCCCACUCCCCUCUUUUAUUCCUCCCCCUCUCUUCCGUUUCCUUCUUUUGCUCACUAUCCUUUAUAAUUUUUUAUGCUUGUCUUCCCAAAAUAGCCUUUGAAUACACAAGUAAAUGUCUAGGCUUUGGUGAGGAUAGUUUGGUCAUUGCAUUUUACAAGUAAGAUGAGUGGUGGAGAAAAAUGAGGAGUGCACAUAACUCUUCAGCAAAUCCCACCAACAAUUCCAUUUUCUUAAUUAAUUAAUCUCCUUUUUUAUCCCCAAACAAAUCCUAAUGAUACUCUUAUCAGGUUUAAAACAGUACACAAAUAGUGAAAAGCUAACUAGUCUGUAGAGUAAUUUGCUAAUUGCUAUCUCCUCUCUACGCGCGCUGAAUAAUUUGUUGCAUGCAAACUUUUUAUUUUAUGCAAAUCGUACGUACUGUAACAUUGGAAUUGAUGGAUAAGCAAAAAUACAAUAAUAUUUAUGCCAAUAAAAAUAGUUUUUUUUCCUUUUUAAAUAAACACAACGCGAUGUUGCUCUGCUCUACAUUUUUGCUAUCUCUUUAUUCUUUUUUUUUUUUUGGGCUUCUUAAAGCCUCAAACUUUGACAACCAAAACUUCAUCGACCUAUGAAAAAAUCUGCAGAUUAGUUUUUAUUAUCGGAAUAAUUGUUUGAGAAUACUAAAACAAAAUAUAAAAUAAGAAAAUAGGGGGUUAAAUUAGAGGGGGAAAAAAGCCAUGUUCUAUCGAUUACUAUAGUUUAAGAAAACAAAAUCCAAUUGGGAAUUUUUUUCUUUAAUUUUUGUUUUACUUGAUUGAGAUUUCUCCUUAGUCCUUACAGUUUUAAGUUUGGAUGCCGUAGGGUUAGUAAUUUAGUACUUCCUUUGCAAGCUGAGGGCAAGAAUGAAAAUCUUUAAAGAAAUUAAAAAAGAUUAAAAAAAAGCAUACCAAUAGGUAAUUAUAAAUAACCAUAAAUAAACAUAAACAAAAUAUUUAUGAAGUAAAUUACACAUGCACAUAUUAUUUUUUUGUUUUAUUUCUUACUUGUCUAUUUUAUUUGUCUAUUUUAUUUGCUGCUUGAUAACCCGUAAAUACUAAUCUAGUACUGCUAAUUUCAGACACAAAAUUUUUAACUCUAGGCUGCAGUUUUGCUCAAAAUGAUGACCACUGGCUUCGCACCAUUUAACCGGCAUACAUUUCUACAAAUUGAACAAGGCUAUUGAUUUUCAUUAUUAUUUUUUAUUUAUUUAUAAAUUACUAUUUUAAUUUUCACUUUUUAUUGGGUUGUUUACAAUUUUAUUUUAUAAUUUCAAAUUUGUAUUUUAAAAUGCAGGUACAUUAUGUAUACAUAAUUAUUGAUUUUCAUAUGUGGGUGUUUUGAAAUAUUGCUAAAAGACCAAACUUAAUAAACUAUUUUUCAUCUUUUUUUCCCUUUUUUCCUAAAGGUUGAGUGAUAUCCGCAUUUUAAAUUCAUGUGGAACAAAAGCUAAUGAAUGCACAAAAUUAUUUUAUUUUUUCCGAGAAAAAUGGGUAAGAGAAGAAGAUUUUUCUCUUGAAAAAGAAAAACUAAUACGAUGCAAACAUAGGAAAGAGGUCAGUGUUUUGGAUUAGAAUUUAUUAUUGACCUGAAUUUUAUACUAAACUCUUUUAUAGUACUGCGAUUAAUGAACUCAUGAUUUGCUUUUGCUUUUACUUCAAGUGAAAGAAAGAGGAAACCUUUUGUUUUUUGUUUGAUUCUUGACUAUAGAUGUUACCUAUAUAGAGAGUUGAGGUAGCUGCCUUAAGUGAUGGUGAUAAAAAGAUUAAGCAGCGCACAAAAUCUGACUGUCGUCCAGACCAUCCAGCUGUGAUGGCUCUAGUUUUUUGGUUACAUUAGCUUUAGUGGAAAGGAGGGCCAAUUUAACAAAGACUAGAUUUGGUGGCUUACUAUAAUGCUUAUUCUCAAGGAAUCUAAUGUUAUAAGAUGAUUUAAUGAUCUUCUAUGAUUGUGAGUAGUAUAGUAUAAUUGAAAAGAGCCUGGGCUCCUAUGAUGAAUAUUUAAUAGUAACACAAUAUUGUGAUUGAAAAAAACACUGUUACAAUAAACUCUUCAUUUAUUCAUUGCGGAUAUUGAAUGGCAAACAGAGAAUAAAAUGAAGCAGAGGAAUCUCAUUGCUAGUAAAAUUGACCCUCUUUAAUGUUAUAUGGCACAGGUGUGUGUACAGCAAGAGCAAGUGACUUGCAGUUUUUUUUUGUAAAAUAUACAGGUUAUGACCAUGAUCAUUGUAGUUAGGUUUUGAUGAUUUUAGAUGCUUUUUUAUUUUUUUUAAAUUGUGACACCUUUGAUUUAUGGUAGUUUUGCAGAAGAAAAAAAUAUAUAUAAAAAUUAGGAAGAAUGAGUUAACUAACAAUUGCAAUCAUUACAACAAUGUUGAUGAGUGAUACAUCAUUUGAAAUUUACAUGUCAGUUGCUAAAAUGAUGAAAAAAAACAAUAAACAAUAGCAGUAAUAUUUUUAUGGAAAUUCUUGGUUUUUAUGGAAAUACUCUUGCUGAAAUUCUAAUUUUGACUUUCAACUCUUGGUUUUUAUGGAAAGUAAAAUGACUUGUUUGUUAUAUUCAUACAAUCCACUCUACAUAAUGAUUUCAUUUUUAAUAAAUGCUUGAUGAUCUCCACUGAAAAACUACUUCAAUUCUUUUGUUUUAUUUAACUUUUUGGUUGUUGAAAAUAGCCUUAAUUUUCAAAUAAUUGGAGAAAGAGUAAAGAACAUUUAACAAAUUUAUGUGCCAAAAAUAAAGGAGAAAUUGAAGAGAAAGGGUGCUUGCAGAAGUGGGUGCAAAGAUAAAUCAGUCUAUAAGAAUUAUUGUGGUUAUUAAUUUUUUGGCAAUAUAAAAAUUCUUCAGCAAAUAAAAAUUGAUUUUUUUCCGAUUUACUAAAAAAUUAAUUAAAAAAUUCGGCCACAGCAUUUUUUAUGGGUGCAUAUACCCUCCCUUUAAAAAAAAAUAAUAAUUAAUGCUUAAUAUAGUAUUAAAUACCAAAAUAUCAAUAUUUGGCUACUCAAAUUUAUAUCAUUAGGUCCUUCAAAUUUAAAAUUGAAGAUACAAAAGGAAAUAUAUAUAAAUUUCAUUCUCAUGGAAAGGAUUCUCUUAUAAUCUUAUAAUAUUUGAGUUUUGAAAUUUUUUGAAACAAAUGUAAUUUUAUUUGUGUACAAUCAAUAUUUACUUAUUUAUUAUAUUUUAAUUUGUUAACUAUCAAUCAUUUAAGUAUAUUUGGUCAGAAAAAUUAUAUCAAGAGAGAAUCCUAAUUUCACGCAAACACAAAUACAAGAUAAAUAUGUCAAUUUCUAUACUAUUCACUUUCCUGUAGAAUCAAUUAUCUAAAAUGCAAGUUUGUGGCUACAGAAAACUAAUGCAUCAUUUUCUUCUUGAUUUGAUGAGAUGACGCCAUUACAAAAAAAUAAGUACCUUAAUUGACGGGCACUGAGUGAUGUGAAUACUACCAGCCAGUUCAUCUCUUCCAGUCUUGCUUAAUCACAAUCACAAACACCACGAGAUUGACAUUUGCAUUAUAUAUAUCUUCAGCAAUCGAAACACCUUGCAUUACCAAAUUAACCGGUAACAAACAAAGCAAUCUUUCAUGGAGAGAAACUUUAGUCUCAGUAUGAUCACUGUGUCAUUAACCCACUUCCUGCUUCUUUGCUUGGUUGUUGCAGCAGCAGCAGCCGCAAGCAACAAUAUUACCACAGACCAACAAGCUCUUCUUGCCCUGAAAGAUCAUAUAACUUAUGAUCCAACCAACCUUUUUGCCCAUAAUUGGACCUCGAAUACCUCUGUUUGUACCUGGAUUGGCAUCACUUGUGAUGUCAAUAGCCAUAGAGUCACAGCCUUAGAUAUUUCUCAAUUCAAUCUACAAGGCACCAUCCCUCCUCAACUUGGAAACCUCUCUUCACUUACAACGCUUAAUCUUAGUCAUAACAAGCUUUCUGGAGACGUUCCAUCCUCCAUCUACACCAUGCAUUCGCUAAAAUUUCUUGACUUCACUGAUAACCAGCUCUCUGGUUCAGUGUCUUCCUUCGUCUUCAGCAUGUCUUCAAUAUUAGAAAUUCUUUUGACCAAUAACAGAUUUUCUGGUGAGCUUCCGAAAAAUAUUUGCAACUAUCUUCCUUAUUUGAAAGCCCUUUUCUUAAACAAAAACAUGUUUCAUGGCAAAAUUCCUUCUGCUUUAUCAAAGUGCAAACAACUGCAACAAUUAAAUUUGCAGUUCAAUAAUUUAUCCGGUGCAAUACCGAAAGAAAUCGGCAACUUGACUAUGCUCAAAGGCAUAUAUCUCGAAUACAACAAACUCCACGGUAUGUUCAUAAUACUAUGUAAAUGUUUUAAUUUCUCACUUGUUAUUUUCUUGAAUACUUUAGACAAGAUCUCGUAAGGGAGAUAUUUUUGGAUCUGUGUUAAUUUGCCAGGUGAGAUACCCCACGAAAUCGCUAAUCUUCGAAAUCUAGAGGAUUUAUUGCUUGGAAUGAACAACCUAGUUGGUGUGUUACCAGCUCCAAUCUUCAACAUGUCAACACUGAAAUUAUUUGACCUCAUAAAUAACUCUCUCUCCGGAAGUCUUCCAUCAAGAAUAGACCUUUCACUUCCAACUGUCGAGUUUUUUGGCUUGGCACUGAAUAGAUUUUCUGGAACCAUUCCUAGUUCCAUCACCAAUGCUUCUAAGCUCACCGUUCUAGCGUUGGGAGAGAACACAUUUUCGGGCUUCAUUCCAAACACAAUUGGUAAUUUAAAAAACCUUGAGUGGCUCAGCUUGGAGAAUAAUUACUUGAAAUCUUCAACCUCAAAAUUGAGCUUUCUUUCCUCUUUGGCAAAUUGCAAGAAAUUAAGAUUCUUAAACUUAGCAGGCAAUCCACUUGACGGCUUCCUUCCAAGUUCAAUAGGUAAUCUUUCUGUGUCUUUGGAAACACUUUUCAUCGGCAAUUGCAGUAUUAGUGGCAACAUUCCUCAAGCAAUUAGCAAUUUAAGCAACUUGUUGACCUUAGCAUUAGAAUUCAAUAAAUUGACUGGACCAAUUCCAAUUACAUUUGGCCGACUACAGAAACUCCAAGGCUUAGAUCUUGCAUUCAAUAAGUUGGUAGGUUCAUUCCCAGAUGAGCUUUGCCAUCUAGCAAGGCUGGAUCAAUUGUACUUAUUUGGCAAUAAGCUUUCAGGAUCUAUACCUUCAUGCCUAAGUAAUCUCACUUCUCUAAGAUCUCUCUACUUAGGGUCUAAUAGGUUUACUUCUGUUAUUCCCUCAACUUUCUGGAGCCUAAAAUACAUCUUGUUCUUUGACUUUUCAUCAAAUUUCUUGGUUGGUACUCUUUCUUUCGACAUAGGUAAUUUGAAGGUGCUUCUAGGAAUAAAUUUAUCAGAAAAUAACUUAUCGGGUGAUAUGCCAGCCACAAUUGGAGGACUGAAAGAUCUUCAAUUUAUGGACCUAGCAUAUAAUAGAUUGGAAGGCCCAAUUCCUGAAUCAUUUGGUGACUUGACAAGUUUGGAGGUUUUGAAUUUGUCAAAAAAUAAAAUCUCUGGGUCUAUUCCAACAUCCAUAGAGAAACUCAUUUACCUUCGAGAGUUAAAUCUCUCUUUCAAUAAACUUGAAGGUGAGAUUCCUAGUGGAGGAAUUUUUACCAACUUCACAGCUGAGUCAUUUAUGGGAAAUGAGUUAUUGUGUGGUUUACCAAAUCUUCAAGUCCAACCAUGCAAACUUAGCAAGCCUAGGACAGAACAUAAAUCAAGGAAAAAGAUACUUCUCAUUGUGAUUGUUUUGCCAUUGAAGAUUGCUCUAACGAUAGCAAUCACUCUAGCUCUCAAAUCUAAGCUGAUCGAAUGUAGAAAAAGAAGCACAGAGUUAUCAAAUGAUAGUAUCUUGUCAUCACAAGCAACACUAAGAAGAUUUUCAUACUUAGAACUUUUACAAGCAACAGAUAAUUUUGCUGAAAACAACAUAAUUGGCAGAGGAGGUUUUGGUUUCGUUUAUGGAGCAAGACUUGAAGAUGGGAUGAAGAUUGCAAUAAAAGUGUUCACCAGCAAUGUGCAAGCGCAUUGAAGAGUUUUGAGGCUGAAUGUGAAGUGUUAAAAAAUAUUCGCCAUCGAAACCUUAUCAAAGUUAUCAGCAGUUGCUCGAACGAUAACUUCAAAGCAUUAGUCCUAGAAUACAUGUCCAACGGGAGCUUGGAGGAUUGGCUGCAUUCUAGCAAUUAUGUGCUGAAUAUAUUUCAGAGGUUGAACAUAAUGAUUGACGUUGCAUCAGCUUUAGAAUAUCUCCACUUCGAUCAUUCAACUGCUAUUAUUCAUUGUGACUUAAAGCCUAGUAAUGUAUUGUUGGACGAAAAUAUGGUUGCUCAUUUGAGUGAUUUUGGCAUAGCAAAGCUUUUAAGUGGAGAGGAUGAGUCUACGAUGCGAACAAAAACCCUUGCCACUAUAGGUUAUAUGGCACCAGGUUUGCUUCAAACAACUUUUUUUUUAGUUCAUUUUAAAUUUUCUAAAUCAUUGAUUUUUACGAUCCUCAUAUCAAAUUGUUACUGAUUAUUUAUCUAAUUGUGAAAUUAAUUUGAUUCAUAGAGUACGGCAUAGAAGGAGAAGUAUCUACAAAAAGUGAUGUUUACAGCUAUGGGAUUAUGUUGAUGGAAACUUUUACCAAGAAAAAACCCACAGAUGAAAUUUUUGUUGGAGAAUUGAGCUUAAAGCGUUGGGUUAAUGACUUGCUUCCUACUUCAUUAGAGGAAGUUGUGGACAAAACUCUGCUAAGUGGAGAGGAAAAACAUUCUUUAGGAAAGGAGCAAUGUCUGUUGUCUAUCUUUAGUUUGGCUCUGGAGUGUACAAUGGAAUCACCGGAAAAGAGGAUUAAUGCAAAAGAUAUUGUUACCGGAUUACUCAAGAUAAAAGCCGCAUUGAGUAAAAGGAUAGGAAAUUUAAGUUAAUUUCGUUUGCUUUCAUUGAUAGUUAAUCUGAAUUCAUGUAAUAAGUGUAGGAAUCUUAUAUCUUUUCCUUUCAUAUAUUUUUUUUCCUUGAGAAAACUGUUGUAGUCAUCUUGUUUCCGUGGACAGAGUUGAUUUAGUUUUUCCAUGAAAUGCUACUGAUGACAUUUGUUUUAUACUUUCUCUUUUUUUGCAUGUGUUUUGGCUGCAGGCUAAGAAGUCUAACUACACUAAAAGAAUAUGAUUUAAUUUAUUAAACAAAACUUCAAGUUCAAGAAAAGUAUUUCACUGCCCCUAAUGCUUUGGACACCUACUGGUAGGUUUGUACGUGUCCUCAACUUUUUUUUGGAGCACAAAAUUCGAGUCCCAUGGAGUCUCAAACAUUCCUUUCCCACAUCCCGAGCACGCUGAAUUUAUCAGACUGACUGUUGUGCGCGGAAUGCGGAAUCAAGCACGCCAAAUAAUUACAGAAAAAUAAAUGACACAAGAAUUUACGUGGUUCGGUAAUUAAACCUACAUCCACGGAGGUAAAAAAAAAAAUUGUUUAUUUAACAAUUAAUAGAGUACAAAUAUUUGAGUAACGAAUCUCACUUCCCAAAAACCCAAAUAUACCCAGUACUCUCACACUCUGCAGGAAAGAUAAAUUCCCCAGACAAACUUCUCUCACUUCUCUCAAAAGCUUAGAAACUUAUAAGCUUAACAAUUUUAGGAUACCAAAGAAUGGAAGAAGUGCCAUCUAUUUAUAGGGAAAAUAAUGGCACUAUUGAACCAACCCUUUUACUAUUCCACCUAACCUAAGCAAAUAGUCAAUGGUGUCCAUUUGGCAAAUUUGACAAAUUUGCCAACUUUCCAUUUUUUCUUCAAAUGUUUGGUAGCUCUUUGAAAAAUUGCCACAUACAUGACUUUUCAACACUGACAACCGGGACAUAUACAAGAGUGAAAUGUUCAGAGCACGCUAAGUUCCAGUGAAAGAGAUUAAUUUACGGAAACUAAAGCCAAGAGAAUAAAGGACAACACUUAUGUGAAGCGACAUAAUUGUAUUGAUAGCACAAUGUCAAAUUCAUACAGAGAUCUAGUAUACUAUUUACAGCCGGUAAGGGCUAAGAAUUGAUGUAGCUAUAAUACAAAUACGAUAAGGUAUGUUGUGCGCUAUUGUUUUUAUUCUCCAAUCAAUCUUGACCCUUGAUGCUUGGUUCUCAAUCUUGUCCAUUGAUCUUCUCUGAUUUUGGAGACUUCAAGACCUUUCAGUAUCAUUCCUUGUUAUUGGUGUCUUCCGUGCUGUAGAAUUCAUAUACAAGUUUUCCCGCCGACUUGCCAAGUAUUCGUUCAUUGGUGCAUUUUUAUCAAACAGCUGGGCUACUUAUGCCAGACACCGCCUGGUUUAACUCCCCCUCUCUAGCUCAACUAUCUGGGAAGACAAUUAAUUGAGCUUGUUUCACAAGUAUAUGAAUCUGAAAGUUAAAUUUUAAAAAUUAUAUUCGGACUCUACAUUUUGUAAUGAACAUUGGUUUGACUUGUUAUACAUUUAUGCGUACAUAAUUAAUAACCGAUUCUCAAGUGCGGACAUUCAAGAGCACUGCUUAAAGACCAAAUAUUUUGAUUUACUACUUUUUGUCUUUCAAUUUUCUUUUAAGUUCUGAUGACGUCCGCAUUUUAAAAUCCUGUGGAACAAAGGCCUGAGGUGCAUAUAAAAUUCUUUUAUUUUUCAGAGGAAAAUGGGUGAGAGAAGAAGAUUUGGCAAAAGAAUUGCAACGGCAUUUGAAACUAGUCUUCGUCUUUUAAUUCUUUUAUAUUUGUUUUUGUUAUUGAUGUUAGCUUGGAUGUGUGCGCGUGUGACUGAAUUCAACUUAUAUUUGUUUUUGUUAUUAUUAUUAAUUUUAUUUGUUUUUGUUAAAUUGGACCACCCCAUUAUCAAAUCAACACGGUUUAAUUAUUAUUAAUUCUACACUUUUUUUACGAACAAAUAUAAAAUAAAAGGACAUUUACAUCCCAAAUUUUAGUGCAAUAGUCAUCAACAUCCCUAAAUUUUUAAAAAGAGACAUCAAAAUCAUUUUUUGAUCUUAAUACUCUUAUACGGUACCUCUAUUAUUCCCAAAAAUUGACUCUAAUGUUUUAUAAUAAAUAAAAAUAAAACUUUAAAAUAAAUGUAAUUACAUAUACAUUUUAAAAUAAUUUCAAUAUUUAAAAAAUAUUUUUAACAUUUUACAAUCUAUUAUAUUUUAUUAUAUUAAAGUAAAUUUUAUUAUAAAUAGAAUCAUAUUAUUAAAAUAAAUGCAUUAAAAUUUAAAUUAUUUUGAAUAUCAUGUAAGAUAAUAAUUUUAACAUUACUAGUGUGUCAGAUUUUUUUUUUUAAUUGUAGAAUGUAUUUAGCGCAAAUAUUUAUUUAAAAUCUCUACAAUAAAUAAAAGAUUUAAAUAAAUAUAAUAAUUUACAUAUCUAAAUUUAUUAAAAUAUUUUAAUAUUGUUAGUCUACUGCAUAGAUCACAAUAUUUAUAUAACAUUUGUAUUUAUUAAAAACUUUAAAAUCAAUUCUUUUGAGAAUAAUAGAGGUAAAGAGUAUAAUGGUAAUAAAGGGGACUUUGUACCCCUUUCUAAAAACUUGAGGAUGUUAGUGACCAUUUCUCCAAACCUUCAGUGUGUUGAUGUAAUUGUCAAGAAAUACAGUAUCUAAACUUUGAAGUAACAAGGAUCACCUUUUAUGAAAUCAUAUUGCUUUUCAUGAUAGACUGUUACCAUUUUUCUACGAUAGAUUCAGUAAAAAAUUGAUUAAGAUGUCUACUCAUGGAGAGUGAAAUUUAUGUUCAAAACUAAUUUCAACAGGCAUGCACCAUCGAACGUGUUUCUCAUGGAAAAGUUGCUUGGAUUUUAGGGACUUUAUGUUCAAAUAUUCAACACGGCAUGCACCACGCGAUUGAACAUGCAAAAGUAGGGGUCUAUUUUCAUUUUCAGCAUUAUAGAAAUCUUAAUUUUGUUCAUUAUUUAUUUUGAUCAGCACUCUUGAAUCUCCAUGUAUUGCCAAUCACUAAGAAACAACAUAUUCUUAUUAAUUAUAUCCUCUAAUGGAGAGAACUCAUUGUCUCAGUAAGAUCACUGUGUCAUUAACCCACAGCAUGCUGAUUUGCUUGGUUGCUGCAGCAAGCAAAAAUAUUACCACAGAUCAAAAAGCUCUUCUUGCCCCAAAAGAUCACAUAACUUAUGCUCCAACUAAUCUUUUGACCCAAAAUUGGACCUCAAAUACCUCUGUUUGUACGGGGAUUAGCAUCACUUGCGAUGUCAAUAGCCAUGAAGUUGCAGCCUUGGAUAUUUCUCAAUUCAAUCUACAAGGCACCAUUAUUCCAAACACAACUGGUAAUUUAAGAAACCUUAAGUGGCUCGGCUUGGCUUAUAAACUACUUGACAUCUUCAACUUCAAAAUUGAGCUUUCUUUCCUCUUUGGCAAGUUGCAAAAAAUUAAGAAUCUUAGGCUUACUGGAAAUCCACUUGACCGUAUCCUUUCAGGUUCAAUAGGUAAUCUUUCUAUGUCUUAGGAAAGGUUUCACAUCGCCAAUUGCAGCAUUAGUGGCAGAAUUCCUCAAGUAAUCAGCAAUUUAAGCAACUUGUUGGCUGGUGUGCAAAAUUUUAAUAUACUUGCAAGCGCAUGAAUCUAGAAAUAGAAUAAUAGUAACGAGGUCAAACCCACAUGGAUCGUUAUAAACUGACAAAAGAAUAGCUGCUGGUCUAGAGGUGGCUUACUACAUUCAUACAAGAUCGUUUCUUGUUCUCUAAGAUAUGCAUUAUACUAAUAAUGCUAUACAAACUUAUCCAAAGGUCUAUUAAUUAAUUCAUUAAUCCAACGGCUUGUUAGGUUGUCCUUUCAUCCAUACAGCUGCAUGCUUGUCUUCUUAUAUACUGAUCUUAUCCUCUAGAUCUGUUCAGGCUGAGUGAUCUCUCACAUUUGCCAUAUCAGAAGAUUACAUGCCAGUAAUGUCAUGUGAUGACCUGUUGCUUGGUGAUGUCGAAUGCCUGGCCUUUACUUCUCUGAGCAAAUUGAUCAAACAAUUUGUUCAUUUUAUCGAACACCUUCACCAACCAACAUUUUAUUUACUUUUGAUGGUUUUUAAGUGCAUUUAAUGAUUAUUUUUGCUCCAACUUCAGAUAAACCAAACGCUAGUAUAUUAGAAGAAGAAGUUCACUGGCAGCUAACCAGGUCAAAAUAGCGACUCUAUAUAAAAAAUAUAUAUAAAAAAUAAAUAAAUAAAAUGGGACUUUAUUUAAUUAAUUGUUGGUCUAAAGCUGUUGGUAUCCGUUGGCCACGUUUCUGAAGAGUCAUCUCAAAUCGAAAUUUUUAACGAACAAAGAACUUUGCUUUUUUCCAUUGUUCACAUUGCUGCUGGCUGCCACCCGUGAGAUAAAAGUGCUACAAGCUUUCCGUCGACAUUCCCCCCUCCAUUUUCACCAUGCAUAAGCUGAAAUUUCUUGAUUUCAGUGAUAAUCAGCUCUCUGGUUCUUUGUCCUCCGUCACCUUCAACUUGUCUUCAGUAUUAGAUAUUCGUUUGGAUAGUGACAAACUCUCUGGUGAACUCCCAGUAAAUAUUUGCAAUUAUCUUCACUAUUUAAAAGUCCUUUUUUUGGCCAAAAACAUGUUUCACGGUCAAAUACCACUGGCUUUAUCCAAGUGCAAACGGCUACAACUGUUAAAUUUGGGGUUCAAAAAAUUAUCAGGAGCCAUACCGAAAGAAAUCAGCAACUUGACUAUACUUCGAAAGAUAUCUCUCAGAAAUAAUAAACUUCGCGGUAUAAAUGUUUAUAAUAUAUACUUUGUAAAUGCUCUUAUUAAUCAUUCUUGAACUUUCUUAGAUACUUUUGUCUAAAUAAGAUUUUGCAAAAGAGUUUUUUGCAUCUCUGUUAAUUUUGCAGGCGAGAUACCUCACGAAAUUGGGUAUCUUCCAAAUCUAGAGAAUUUGGUGCUUGGAUUCAACAACCUAGUAGGUGUUGUACCUGCUGCAAUCUUCAACAUGUCAACAGUGAAAAAAAUUUACCUAUUAGAUAACUCUCUCUUGGGAAGUUUUUCAUUAGGAAUAGACCUUUCACUUCCUAACGUUGAGAGACUGAACCCGGGGCUGAACAGAUUUUCUGGAACCAUUCCUAGUUUCAUCACCAACGCAUCUAAACUUGUAUAUCUAGAUAUGGGAACAAACUCUUUUUCGGGCAUUAUUCCGAACACAAUUGGUAAUAAUCUAAGAAACGUUGACUGGCUCGACUUAACAUACAAUCGCUUGACAUCAUUAACUCUAGAAUUGAGCUUUCUUUCCUCUUUGACAAUUGCAAGAAAUUAAGAUUCUUAGGCUUAACAGGCAAUCCGCUUGACGGUGUCCUUCCAACUUCAAUAGGUAAUCUUUCUAUGUCUUUGGAAAACAUUUACAUCUCAAAUUGUAAUAUUGGUGGCAGCAUUCCUCAACUAAUCAGCAAUUUAAGCAAUUUGUUGCUCUUAGAUUUAGAAGGCAAUAAGUUGACUGGAUCAAUUCCAGUCACAUUCAGCCGGUUGCAGAAACUCCAGGGUUUAUAUCUUCCAUUUAACAAGUUAGCAGGAUCAAUCCCAGACCAGCUUUGCCAUUUAGCUAGACUGAAUACAUUAGGUUUGGCUGGUAAUAAGUUUUCUGGAUCAAUCCCUUCAUGUUUAGGUAAUCUCACUUCUCUAAGGUCUCCCGACUUAGGGUCCAAUAGGCUUACAUCAGUCUUGCCCUCAACUUUUUGGAAUCUAAAAGACAUCUUGUUCUUUGACCUUUCAUCAAAUUCUUUGGAUGGUCCUCUUUCUUUAGACAUAGGAAAUUUAAGGGUUGUGAUAGGAAUAAAUUUAUCACGAAAUAACUUUUCAGGUGAUAUCCCAAGUACAAUUGGAGAUCUAAAAGACUUACAGAAUAUCUCCUUAGCAUGUAAUGGAUUGGAAGGUCUAAUUCCUGAAUCAUUUGGUUACUUGACAGGUUUGGAAAUUUUAGAUUUGUCAAAUAACAAAAUCUUUGAGUUUAUUCCGAUAUCUUUUUAAAAACUCUUGUACCUCAAAGAGCUAAAUUUGUCUUUUAACAAACUAGAAGGAGAGAUUCCUAGGGGAGGACCUUUUGCAAAUUUCACAGCUAAGUCAUUCAUGGGAAAUGAGAAAUUGUGUGGUUUACCAAAUCUCCAAUUCCCAAAAUGCAAGCGUCGGACGCGUCGAAAAUCAAAGAAAAAGAUGCUUCUACUUGUGAUUGUCUUGCCAUUGAGUACUGCUCUAAUAAUCGCAGUCCCUCUAGCUCUAAAAUAUAAAUCGAUAAGAGGUGGAAAGAGUAGUACUAGGUUGUUAAAUGAUGGUAUCUUGCAUCACAAGAAACACUAAGAAGAUUUUCAUACCAAGAUCUUUUUCGUGCAACAGAAAAAUUUAGUAAAGAAAAUCUAAUUGGCGUAGGAAGUUUUGGUUCUGUUUAUCGAGGAAGAAUUCAUGAUGGAAUUGAGGUUGCAAUAAAAGUGUUUCACCAGAAUUGUGCAAUGGCAUUGAAGAGUUUUGAGGCUGAAUGUGAAGUGAUGAAAAAUAUUCGUCAUCGAAAUCAUGUCAAAAGAAUCAGUAGUUGUUCGAACGAAGAUUUCAAAGCAUUAGUUCUAUAAUAUAUGCCCAAUAGGAGCUUGGAGGAUUGCCUGCAUUCUACCAAUUGUUCGUUAAAUAUUUUUGACAAGUUGAACAUAAUGAUAGAUGUUGCAUCGGCUUUGGAAUAUCUCCACUUCAGUCAUUCAACUCCUGUCAUUCAUUGCGACUUAAAGCCCAAAAAUGUAUUGUUAGAUAAAAAUAUGGUUGCUCAUUUCAGUGAUUUUGGAAUUGGAAGGCUCUUAACUGGAGAUCGAUCAAUGAUACAAACAGAAACACUUGUCACAAUUGGUUAUAUGGCACCAGGUUUGCUCUGAAACAAUUUUUGUUUUUUUUUUUUGGGUUUUCAUUCAGACUUUCCAAAUUAUUAUUUUUCCAUGAUCCUUCUAUCCUAAUGUUAUUGAUUAUUUAUCUAAUGAUAAAAUCAAUUUGGUUGAUAUAAUAUGGCAUAGAAGGACGAGUAUCUACAAGAAGUGAUGUUUAUAGUUAUGGAAUUAUGUUAAUAGAAACAUUUACUAGGAAGAAACCCACAGAUGAAAUGUUUACUACAGAAUUGAGCUUAAAACUUUGGGUUAACAACUUGCUACCUGCUUCAUUGAUGGAAGUUGUGGACAAAACUCUUUAAGUAGGGAAGAAGAAGAUUUUGCUGCGAUGGAGCAAUGUGUGUUAUCAAUCUGAGUUUAGCCAUGGAGUACGUGAUGGAAAUGCCAGAAAAAAGGAUCGAUCCAAUAGAUAUUGUAACUAAACUAUUGAAAAUAAGAGACAUAUUGAGUAAAAGGUUAGCAAAUUUAGGUUAAUCUCAUUUCUUGGCAUUGAUACUUGAAUCAAUAUACACUUAAUUUGAAUCAAUGUAUGAGUGUAAGAAUAUGAUAUAUUUUCCUUUAAUUUUUUUUCCUGAGAGAAAUAUCAUAGCUGUCUUGUUUCAAAUUAAUUUUAUACUUUUUUUUCUUUUUCUAAGAUCAUGCCAAAGAGUUGUAGGAAGAUCAGCCACAAAUUCAAAGCCGGCUAAGGCAUUUGAAGAUGGAGAGAUUGGUAGUUUUUUUCCCAUUAAAAUUAAUAUAUAUCACUUAUCCCAACUAUUUUCAUAAUGCCUAAUAAGCUCUUGGCACCAUAACUUUACCAUAUAACCCUUAUUUUGAAAUACACUUUUAUUCAUAUUAAUAUUAAUUAAAUAAAUCAUAUGAGUUGAAAUUAAAAAUUAAAAAAUUAAAUACCAAAAAAAAGAAAUAUACGUUUUAGUGUGCUAAAAAAUUAAUAUUAAAAUAUUUUUCUUAUAUAUAUAUAUAUAUUAUUCUCAAAAUAAUGUAUCAAGCAAAUGACUUUUUUCUCUUCUUUUUCUUUAACUUUUUUUGUGCUAGUAGAGUUUUUAGAUAUUAUAAAAACAAUAAAAGAAUAAGUGAUAUAUAUUAAUUUCAGUUGAAAAUAACCAACAAUCCCCCUUUAAUUACGUGUCACACCCAACUUAUAAAUUCUAUCAAUCAUGUAAUUAUGGUUGGUUUCUCUUUUUCUUUUUUUUGCAUGUGUUUAGGUAGAAUAGUGGUUUGGUUGCACUCUAAGAAGUCAAACUACACUAAAAGAAUAUGAUUUAAUUUAUUAAACAUAACUUCAAGUUCAAGAAAAGUAUCUUAUUGCCCCCAAUGCUUUGGACACCUAUUGGUAGGUCUGUACGUGUCCUCAACUUUUUUUUGGAGCACAAAAUUCGAGUCCCAUGGAGACUCAAACAUUCCUUUCCUUCAUCCCGAGGGCGCCUUCUGUCCUCUGUUUCUGUUUCCACACACAAAUAGCAAAAAGAAAUUAGAAUGACAACUGGGACAUAUAUAAGAGUGAAAUAAUUAAAAAAUUAUGCUUUUUUGUUUGUCGUGUUAAAAUCGUAAGUACCGAUGUACUGUGAAAGAGAUUAAUUUACAGAAACUGAAGCCAAGGGUUCAAAAAAAAAGUGCAAAGAGAAUAAUUGUAUUGGUAGCACAAUGUCAUAUUCAUACAGAGAUCAAGUAUAUUAUUUACGGCUGGUAAGGACUAAGAAUUGAUGUAGCUAGAAUGCAAAGAUGAUAAGGUAUGUUGUGCACUAUUGUUUUAUUCUACAAUCAAUCUUGACCCUUGAUGCUUGGCUCUUAAUCUUGUCCAUUGAUCUGGUCAACUAUCUGGGAAGACAAUUAAUUGAGCUUGUUUCACAAUUAUAUGAAUCUGAAAGUUAAAUUUUAAAAAUUACAUUCGGACUCUACGUUUUCUAAUGAACAUUGGUUUGGCUUAUAAGCUUAUUAUGCUUAGGCUUAGGCUUGGUAAGAUUAUCGGUCGGUAGAUGAACAAGUUUUAGAGCUUUCGAAUUCAUGCCAAUUAAUUUUCAACUAGGCUAUUACCACAAUAAACAUUUAGAUGAACUAUUAUUGAAAUUUUAUUGAGAAGUGGAACAUGUCGCAUACCAAUGCACGGACAUAUCUUCAAAUAGUGGUAACUCCACACAACAUGGCACAACAAAUUAAGAGUUAUAUAGAUAAAAUCUUUCUACAAUUACAAUAGAUUGAAUUUAGUAAGAAAUUGAUUGUUAUCAUUUUUCUCAUGGAAAAGUUGUUUGGAUUACAAUAGAUUGAAUUUAUGUUCAAAUAUUCAACACGGCAUGCACCACGCGACUGAACUUGCAGAAGGAGAGGUCCAUUUUCAUUUUCAGCAUCACAGAAAUCUAAAUUUGUUCAUUAUAUAUUCUGAUCAGCACUUGAACAUCCAUGCAUACUCCUAUUAAUUAUAUCCUCUAAUGGAGAGAACUCAUUGCCUCAGUAUGAUCACUGUGUCAUCAACCCACUGCCCGCUUCUUUGCUUGGUUGUUGCAGCAAGCAACAAUAUUACCACAGAUCAACAAUAGUUUGUCCAUUUGUUUCAGUGAGGUCGUCAUUAAAAAUUAAUUUUCAUAUUGAUUUUCUUAAUUAUAAAUAAUACUAAUGAUAUUUCAUAGUUAUAAAUAUAUUAGAAUUAAUCAAAAUCAUUUUUUAGUGCGGCAUGGCUAAAACUACCUUCUUCUUUUUUUUUUAUAAGUAAUUACUACUUUAAGGAAAAUACUCCUAUUUUCAGGGAAAAGUCAAGUACCUGUAGUUGUGAAGACUCGAGCUCACCCUCUUAUGAUAAAUCUUCAUAUCAAUUACAUAAAUAUCCUCUAAGUUUUUAGUUAACUAUUCAAAAUUCGAUGUUAUACGGGUAUUUCAUUUAUUUGAGUAGGGGUUAGGGGUCAAUUGGAUACAAAUUCAAAAUUAUCCUUACUUGAGAAGGUGAUAAAAAUUGGGGAUUUAGUUUGGGUGUCAUUAGCUACAAAUAUUAAACUCAUACAUCUAAUUCAAAAUUGCAUCCAGGUUCAUUGCAGCUAAGGCUUGUGGAAUUUCCUCAGUAAGAUGUGAGUAGUCAUACCUACGUCGACAUUCAAUGGCUGUAUGUUUCGGUAAAUGACAAAUUUGGCAUAUGACAGUUUCUUCAUUGACUUCCUCAGCUUGUUGUUUGGAUUGAUUCUGAAUUUUGUGCCAAGGCUGUCCAGAAUUAUUUUGUCGAGGUUGCUGCCACUGUUGUCCCGAAUUUCCUUGCCAUGAUUGUUGCCCUUGUUGACUUGGAUUAUUGUUUGAUUUUUGCCAUGGCUGACUUGCAUUAUUAUUCCAACUUUUUCCACCAUUGUAGUUGAUUUUUUGACCACUUGAAUCAGCCAAAUUUUGUCCUCCUGCUGCUGUAAAACCACGACCUUUUGAGUUAAAGAAACCUCCAUUUCCACGACCUUUUCCCUUGCCUCGUUGGCUAAAAAAGGCUUGAGCCAGAUUGAUUGUAUUCUUCUUUUCUUCUUCAAAAUUAAUAAGAGUUUGUUCAUGAUUUUCGAGGGCCAUGACAAACUGCUUAAAUGAGGGAUAAGGUGGUUUUGAAAGUUGAGCAAGUUUGAAGUCUUGACUUUAUCGAAGUCAUUCACUGGUUUAUUUAUUGCAGCCAAACAAUCACAGAUAUGCUUGUAUUUGCGCACAUACUCUUCAACUGAUAGAGAUCCCUUUUUAAACCGAGAGAAUUACUAUAUUUACACAAUUAACCUUGGCUAGAAUUAAUUGUCCAGAUUGGAUGAUAACUAGAGAAUAGAAAUGAAGAAAAGGAAGCACACAACACCGAGAAGAGUAAUAAUUAAUGCUGCCAUUGACGAAAUGUUUUAUAUUACUCUUCUUUCUUGGUAUUUAUUUAUUUACAAUUUUUAAUGUAAAUAUACAGUUGUUGGGCUAAUAUCUUAUUUACUUUUGAAUGUAUUAGAUGCCUUUUCUUUUUUCUUGGUUCAUAAUAAUUUUGUAGAAAUUCCUCAAGUUUCCCUAAAUGAUAGCACAUAUUCAUAAUUGGAUUGAUUGAGUAAUAAUAAAAUAUAUUUAUUUGGCAAACGGCAGUUAGGCUUUCUUCUGAUGCAGAUUAAUUAGAGAGAAUAUAUAACAAUUUUAAGCUCGUCAGAUUCGGAACCUGCUUAUCUGUCGUGUGGGGAUCACUUCUGUGUCUUAUUUUUCUAGAAAAAUCUGGACCAUUGGAUUUCCCAUUAUUCAAUAGAUAAAUGUUUGAUCUUGAUUCUUGAUUAAGAUCGAAGUUUGAUUCUAACCAAAAUGAUGUCAGAUUCAGAUUGCGAAGCAAGCAAAUUGAAAGUAACUUGUUCUAUUUUGAUAAACACUAGUUCUAAUAAAAAAUUUCUAAGUGUAUAUAUUUUUUUUAUUGUGUUCAAUUUAACUAGUCAAAUCUAUUUUUAAAUAUUUUAUUAACAAUGAUAUGAAAAUAUUCGAACCCCUUGUCAUUGUAAAGUGAAUUACUAUCCAACUACACCAAAUAAUGUUUUCAAAUUGUAAACUGCAAAUCGUGUGUUUGCUCCAUUACAGCGUUUCUUCAAUUUAAAAAAGAGAAUCAUUUGCAUUCUAGAUUAAUCGUGGGUCUAUAUCCAAAUCUAAAAAUUGACUAAAUUCUUAAUCCUAACAAGAAAAAUUGAAGAUUAAAAACGACUAAUUUGGUACCAUACCACUAUUGUAACAUAGGUGGAUCCUCUAUUAAUUGGAGUAAAGAUUGAAUUAUCUCAUUUAUUAAGAUUUAUCAAAAUCUUGUAUCAAAAUCUAUUAAUGAUAUAGGUUCAAGGAUGAAAGAGUCACUUCAUUACUUUUGAGUUCCCAAAUAGAUGAAUGGAUGUUAUUUUUGGAUAGGUGCUAAAUCGAAUUAAGUUGUAGAUAAGAUAGAAAUGGAUUUGGAGAGAUUGGAAUCCUAGGUAAUCCGGUGCACGUUGUCGUGUUAAAUUCUCGUUGACUUCACGUUGACUGAAGCAUUAUUGGAAGAAACAAGUUUAUUGAGGUGAGGCCUUUGAGAUUGUAAGUGUUAAAUCUGAGAAGAAUACCCACACACCCAUUAUCCUAUUACUCUUAUAUCACAUGAAGAGAAUUCAACAUUUGAUUCACAUGGAACAAAAUUGUGAGGAUUGCGAGGGUUGAUGGAAUAUAAUUUAGAUACAAAGUGUUUACCAGUGCGAUGCUUCACAAGUGUUUUCAAUCAUAGUGAUUGUUUUAUCUGCACGUGGAUAUAAUCACAUGUCAGAAUUUUUUUCCUUAAAUUAUGAUCUUAUUUAGUACUGAGGUGUUAUAUCUUUUAAUGUACAAUUAUUGUUGGAAAAAAGUUGCAACUAUCAAAUAAAAUUAAUACUAUGUGCUAAAUAUAAUUGUUAAAUAAUAAUUUUGACAAAAUUAGUGAAGUUAAAUAGAUUUUUUUUUUAUCAUCCAAGUAUAAAAUCAAAUCAACUUAACUUCUAAGUUCUAUAUCGGCUACUGUUUAUCAUAUCUUUUAGUUUUGUAACUUUAAAGUUAUAGUUACCCAACCUCAAUUCUAAACAAGACCUAUAAAGAUCAAAGAUUUCCUCAUUAAAUUAUAUGUCUUGUGAUUGCUUAUUUAAUUUAUAUUUUUGUUAUUUAUCUUUAUUAAUUAUAAUCAUCUUUUUAUAAAUUAAAAUUGAAGGAAGUUGAUUGAUGUUGUUGACACACACACACACACACACGCACGCACACACUCGCAAAGAUAUAUUGGAAGUGCUUACGUCGACUCGAAGUUGUUGGGAAUUAAUGCAUGUAUUGAUUUAUUGGGAGUGUUUAAAUUGAUUUAUUAAUUGAAUAUUGUUUGAUUGCUUCAUAUCCAUUCUAGAAAGUUUAUUUCUUUGUGAAAUUUCAACGAAAUAUGUUUUUUUUUUUAAAUAAGGGUGUUCUAAAUCAUUUUAAAAAAUAUAUGGACUAAUUAGAAUUAAUUAUUAGGUAAUUAACUCAAUUUGUACAGGGUGAAACAACAUUUAUCCUAAUUAUAUCAUGAUAAAUACUUUUCUGAUUAGAAUUAGGAAAUCAUAGGUUAUUGAAUUGUUUUUUUUUUCCUUUGCGAAUGGAUUAGAGAAUUAGAAAACAUCAUGUUGAUGUCAAAAUCUGAUCUAGUCNNNNNNNNNNNNNNNNNNNNNNNNNNNNNNNNNNNNNNNNNNNNNNNNNNNNNNNNNNNNNNNNNNNNNNNNNNNNNNNNNNNNNNNNNNNNNNNNNNNNAGCAUUAAAUUUAUUUGGUAGAGAAUUGGCUGGUCAAUUGUCAAGAUGUCCUGCAAUCACUAGCGAUUAACCUACGAAUACCUGAAAUCACAAAAGACGGUAAGAGGCACUAGAAAUUUUUUCGGCGUGAACCUUCUGACGCUCAAGUCAGUUUAUAGGUUUACCAUAAUAAAAAUAAAUAAUUUCUAUUUAAAACAAAAAAUAAAGUUCAAAAGCUCAAAAAUAAAACCCAAUCCCAAUAUGAAAAUGAAUUUCUUUUUUUUUUUUAGCUUGGCCGAAUCCUUCUGCCUCCUAAAGAAACAUAAUAGAGAAGCAGGUAGCCAUGUUCCCUAGGUAACGCCCCACUCCCCUCUUUUAUUCCUCCCCCUCUCUUCCGUUUCCUUCUUUUGCUCACUAUCCUUUAUAAUUUUUUAUGCUUGUCUUCCCAAAAUAGCCUUUGAAUACACAAGUACAUGUCUAGCCUUUGGUGAGGAUAGUUUGGUCAUUGCAUUUUACAAGUAAGAUGAGUGGUGGAGAAAAAUGAGGAGUGCACAUAACUCUUCAGCAAAUCCCACCAACAAUUCCAUUUUCUUAAUUAAUUAAUCUCCUUUUUUAUCCCCAAACAAAUCCUAAUGAUACUCUUAUCAGGUUUAAAACAGUACACAAAUAGUGAAAAGCUAACUAGUCUGUAGAGUAAUUUGCUAAUUGCUAUCUCCUCUCUACGCGCGCUGAAUAAUUUGUUGCAUGCAAACUUUUUAUUUUAUGCAAAUCGUACGUACUGUAACAUUGGAAUUGAUGGAUAAGCAAAAAUACAAUAAUAUUUAUGCCAAUAAAAAUAGUUUUUUUUCCUUUUUAAAUAAACACAACGCGAUGUUGCUCUGCUCUACAUUUUUGCUAUCUCUUUAUUCUUUUUUUUUUUUUGGGCUUCUUAAAGCCUCAAACUUUGACAACCAAAACUUCAUCGACCUAUGAAAAAAUCUGCAGAUUAGUUUUUAUUAUCGGAAUAAUUGUUUGAGAAUACUAAAACAAAAUAUAAAAUAAGAAAAUACGGGGUUAAAUUUGGGGAAAACAAAAAGGCAUGUUCUAUCGAUUACUAUAGUUUAAGAAAACAAAAUCCAAUUGGGAAUUUUUUUCUUUAAUUUUUGUUUUACUUGAUUGAGAUUUCUCCUUAGUCCUUACAGUUUUAAGUUUGGAUGCCGUAGGGUUAGUAAUUUAGUACUUCCUUUGCAAGCUGAGGGCAAGAAUGAAAAUCUUUAAAGAAAUUAAAAAAGAUUAAAAAAAAGCAUACCAAUAGGUAAUUAUAAAUAACCAUAAAUAAACAUAAACAAAAUAUUUAUGAAGUAAAUUACACAUGCACAUAUUAUUUUUUUGUUUUAUUUCUUACUUGUCUAUUUUAUUUGUCUAUUUUAUUUGCUGCUUGAUAACCCGUAAAUACUAAUCUAGUACUGCUAAUUUCAGACACAAAAUUUUUAACUCUAGGCUGCAGUUUUGCUCAAAAUGAUGACCACUGGCUUCGCACCAUUUAACCGGCAUACAUUUCUACAAAUUGAACAAGGCUAUUGAUUUUCAUUAUUAUUUUUUAUUUAUUUAUAAAUUACUAUUUUAAUUUUCACUUUUUAUUGGGUUGUUUACAAUUUUAUUUUAUAAUUUCAAAUUUGUAUUUUAAAAUGCAGGUACAUUAUGUAUACAUAAUUAUUGAUUUUCAUAUGUGGGUGUUUUGAAAUAUUGCUAAAAGACCAAACUUAAUAAACUAUUUUUCAUCUUUUUUUCCCUUUUUUCCUAAAGGUUGAGUGAUAUCCGCAUUUUAAAUUCAUGUGGAACAAAAGCUAAUGAAUGCACAAAAUUCUUUUAUUUUUUCCGAGAAAAAUGGGUAAGAGAAGAAGAUUUUUCUCUUGAAAAAGAAAAACUAAUACGAUGCAAACAUAGGAAAGAGGUCAGUGUUUUGGAUUAGAAUUUAUUAUUGACCUGAAUUUUAUACUAAACUCUUUUAUAGUACUGCGAUUAAUGAACUCAUGAUUUGCUUUUGCUUUUACUUCAAGUGAAAGAAAGAGGAAACCUUUUGUUUUUUGUUUGAUUCUUGACUAUAGAUGUUACCUAUAUAGAGAGUUGAGGUAGCUGCCUUAAGUGAUGGUGAUAAAAAGAUUAAGCAGCGCACAAAAUCUGACUGUCGUCCAGACCAUCCAGCUGUGAUGGCUCUAGUUUUUUGGUUACAUUAGCUUUAGUGGAAAGGAGGGCCAAUUUAACAAAGACUAGAUUUGGUGGCUUACUAUAAUGCUUAUUCUCAAGGAAUCUAAUGUUAUAAGAUGAUUUAAUGAUCUUCUAUGAUUGUGAGUAGUAUAGUAUAAUUGAAAAGAGCCUGGGCUCCUAUGAUGAAUAUUUAAUAGUAACACAAUAUUGUGAUUGAAAAAAACACUGUUACAAUAAACUCUUCAUUUAUUCAUUGCGGAUAUUGAAUGGCAAACAGAGAAUAAAAUGAAGCAGAGGAAUCUCAUUGCUAGUAAAAUUGACCCUCUUUAAUGUUAUAUGGCACAGGUGUGUGUACAGCAAGAGCAAGUGACUUGCAGUUUUUUUUUGUAAAAUAUACAGGUUAUGACCAUGAUCAUUGUAGUUAGGUUUUGAUGAUUUUAGAUGCUUUUUUUAUUUUUUUUAAAUUGUGACACCUUUGAUUUAUGGUAGUUUUGCAGAAGAAAAAAAUAUAUAAAAAAAUUAGGAAGAAUGAGUUAACUAACAAUUGCAAUCAUUACAACAAUGUUGAUGAGUGAUACAUCAUUUGAAAUUUACUUGUCAGUUGCUAAAAUGAUGAAAAAAAACAAUAAACAAUAGCAGUAAUAUUUUUAUGGAAAUUCUUGGUUUUUAUGGAAAUACUCUUGCUGAAAUUCUAAUUUUGACUUUCAACUCUUGGUUUUUAUGGAAAGUAAAAUGACUUGUUUUUUAUAUUCAUACAAUCCACUCUACAUAAUGAUUUCAUUUUAAUAAAUGCUUGAUGAUCUCCACUGAAAAACUACUUCAAUUCUUUUGUUUUAUUUAACUUUUUGGUUGUUGAAAAUAGCCUUAAUUUUCAAAUAACUGGAGAAAGAGUAAAGAACAUUUAACAAAUUUAUGUGCCAAAAAUAAAGGAGAAAUUGAAGAGAAAGGGUGCUUGCAGAAGUGGGUGCAAAGAUAAAUCAGUCUAUAAGAAUUAUUGUGGUUAUUAAUUUUUUGGCAAUAUAAAAAAUUUUCAGCAAAUAAAAAUUGAUUUUUUCCAAUUUACUAAAAAAUUAAUUAAAAACUUUGGCGAUAGCAUUUUUUGUUGGUGCAUGUACCCUCCCUUUUAAAAAAAUAUAAUAAUUAAUACUUAAUAUAAUAUUAAAUACGAAAAUAUCAAUAUUUGACUACACAAAUUUAUAUCAUUAGGUCCUUAAAAUUUAAAAUUGAAGACAUAGAAUGAAAUAUAUAAAUAUAUAUAAAUUUUAUAAUCUUAAAAUAUUUGAAAGAUUUUUUAAAACAAAUGUAAUUUUAUUUGUGUACAAUCAAUAUUUACUUAUUUAUUAUAUUUUUAUUCAUUAACUAUCAAUCAUGUGAGUAUAUCUACUUAGAAAUAUCAUAUCAAGGGAGAAUCUUGAUCCCACGCACACGCAAAUAUGUUAAUUUCUAUACGCUUCACUUACCUGUAGAAUCAAUUAUCUAAAAUGCAAGUUUGUGGCCACAAAAAAGGCCAAAGAAAGAAGAUAAUAACAAUUGACUUGUAUAUUAUACUCAUACAAUCCACUCGACAUAAUGAUAUCAUUUUAACAAGGCAAUGGCUGAUGAUCUCCAUUGAAAAACUAAUUCAUUUCUUUUGCUUCAUUUAACUUUUUGGUUGUUGAAAAUAACCUUAAUGAUCAAAUUUAUGUGCAAAAAAAAAAGGAGAAGUUGAAGAGAAAGGGUGCUUGCAGAAGUGGAUGUCAAAGAAAAAUCGGUCCAUAAGAAUUAUUGCGGUUAUUUUUUGGCAAUAUAAAAUUUUUAUAGCAUGUAAAAAUUAAUUUUUUUUCCGAUUUACUAAAAAAUUAACUAAAAACUUCUGCGACAGCAUUUUUUAUGGGUGCAUAUACCCUCCCUUUAAAAAAAAUAUAAUAAUUAAUGCUUAAUAUAGUAUUAAAUACGAAAAUAUCAAUAUUUGACAACUCAAAUUUAUAUCAUUAGGUCCUUAAAAUUUAAAAUUGAAGACACGAAAAGAAAUAUAUAAAAAUUUCAUUCUCAUGGAAAGGAUUCUCUUAUAAUCUUAUAAUAUUUGAGUUCUGAAAUUUUUUUGAAACAAAUGUAAUUUUAUUUGUGUACAAUCAAUAUUUACUUAUUUAUUAUAUUUUAAUUUAUUAACUAUCAAUCAUGUAAGUAUAUUUAGUCAGAAAAAUUAUAUCAAGAGAGAAUUCUAAUUUCACACAAACACAAAUACAAGACAAAUAUGUCAAUUUCUAUACUAUUCACUUUCCUGUAGAAUCAAUUAUCUAAAAUGGAAGUUUGUGGCUACAGCAAACUCGCCAAAGAAAGAAGAUAAUAACAAUUGAGCAUUGAUAGCAAAACUAAUGCAUCAUUUUCUUCUUGACUUGAUGAGAUGGCGCCAUUACAAAAAAACAAGUACCUUAAUUGACGGGCACUGAGUGAUGUGAAUACUACCAGCCAGUUCAUCUCUUCCAGUCUUGCUUAAUCACAAUCACAAACACCACGAGAUUGACAUUUGCAUUAUAUAUAUGUUCAGCAAUCGAAACACCUUGCAUUACCAAAUUAACCGCUAACAAACAAAGCAAUCUUUCAGGGAGAGAAACUUUAGUCUCAGUAUGAUCACUGUGUCAUUAACCCACUUCCUGCUUCUUUGCUUGGUUGUUGUAGCAGCAGCAGCAGCAAGCAACAAUAUUACCACAGACCAACAAGCUCUUCUUGCCCUGAAAGAUCAUAUAAUUUAUGAUCCGACCAACCUUUUUGCCCAUAAUUGGACCUCGAAUACCUCUGUUUGUACCUGGAUUGGCAUCACUUGUGAUGUCAAUAGCCAUAGAGUCGCAGCCUUAGAUAUUUCUCAAUUCAAUCUACAAGGCACCAUCCCUCCUCAACUUGGAAACCUCUCUUCACUCACAACGCUUAAUCUUAGUCAUAACAAGCUUUCUGGAAACGUUCCCUCCUCCAUCUACACAAUGCAUACGCUAAAAUUUCUUGACUUCACUGAUAACCAGCUCUCUGGUUCGGUGUCUUCCUUCGUCUUCAACAUGUCUUCAAUAGUAGAAAUUCGUUUGACCAAUAACAGAUUUUCUGGUGAGCUUCCGAAAAAUAUUUGCAACUAUCUUCCUUAUUUGAAAGCCCUUUUCUUAAAAAAAAACAUGUUUCAUGGCAAAAUUCCUUCUGCUUUAUCAAAGUGCAAAACUCUGCAAAUAUUAUUGUUGCAGUUCAAUAAUUUAUCCGGUGCAAUACCAAAAGAAAUCGGCAACUUGACUAUGCUCAAAGGGAUAUCUCUAUUAUGCAACAAACUCCACGGUAUGUUCAUAAUACUAUGUAAAUAUUUUAAUUUCUCACUUGUUAUUUUUCUUGAAUACUUUAGAUAAGAUCUUGUAACAGAGAUUUUUUUGCAUCUAUGUUAAUUUGCCAGGUGAGAUACCCCACGAAAUCGCUAAUCUUCGAAAUCUAGAGGCUUUAGUGCUUGGAAUGAACAACCUAGUUGGUGUGUUACCAGCUCCAAUCUUCAACAUGUCAACACUGAAGGUACUUAUCCUCAUGGAUAACUCUCUCAGUGGAAGUCUACCAUCAAGAAUAGACCUUUCACUUCCAACUGUUGAGUUUCUUGAGUUGGCACAUAAUAGAUUUUCUGGAACCAUUCCUAGUUCCAUCACCAAUGCUUCUAAGCUCACCGUUCUAGCGUUGGGAGAGAACACAUUUUCGGGCUUCAUUCCAAACACAAUUGGUAAUUUGAGAAGCCUUUUGAGGCUCAGCUUGGCUAAUAAUUACUUGAAAUCUUCAACCUCAAAAUUGAGCUUUCUUUCCGCUUUGGCAAAUUGCAAGAAAUUAAGAUUCUUAAACUUAGGAGGCAAUCCACUCGACGGUAUCCUUCCAAGUUCAAUAGGUAAUCUUUCUAAGUCUUUGGAAACACUUGUCAUCGCCAAUUGCAGUAUUAGUGGCAACAUUCCGGAAGCAGUUAGCAAUUUAAGCAACUUGUUGACCUUAGUAUUAGAACGCAAUAAAUUGACUGGACCAAUUCCAAUUACACUCGGCCUACUACAGAAACUCCAAGGCUUAUAUCUUGGAUUCAAUAUGCUGGUAGGUUCAUUCCCAGAUGAGCUUUGCCAUCUAGGUAGGCUGAAUGAAUUGGUCUUAUUUGGCAAUAAGCUUUCAGGAUCUAUACCUUCAUGCUUAAGUAACCUCACUUCUCUGAAAUCUCUCUACUUAGGGUCCAAUAGGUUUACUUCUGUUAUUCCCUCAACCUUCUGGAGCCUAAAAUACAUCUUGUUCUUUGACUUUUCAUCAAAUUUCUUGGUUGGUCCUCUUUCUUUAGACAUUGGAAAUUUGAAGGUGCUUCUAGAAAUAAACUUAUCAAAAAAUAACUUAUCCAGUGAUAUCCCAGCCACAAUUGGAGGACUGAAAGAUCUUCAAAUUAUGGAC